rnacentral:rRNA from 1 species
UACGGGGGGUGCGAGCGUUGUCCGGAAUCACUGGGCGUAAGGGGCGCGUAGGUGGCGUCGUAAGUCUGUGGUGAAAGCCCCGGGCUCAACCUGGGAAUUGCAUUUGAGACUGCUCUGCUCGGGUGCGGAAGAGGGAAGCGGAAUUUCCGGUGUAGCGGUGAAAUGCGUAGAUAUCGGAAGGAACACCAGUGGCGAAGGCGGCUAUCUGGACGGUUUCUGACACUAAGACUCGAAAGCGUGGGGAGCAAACAGG